rnacentral:lncRNA from 1 species
GUUGAGGAGGGUUUAUGUUCCAGGAGGCUGUUUAGAGAGGCUCCAUCAUGGAUCAAACUCAGCAGAAGUCUGGGAGCAGUGGGCAUGCAGUACAGCUGUUUUGUGGAUCUGCUCUAUGGGGCAGACGGCAAAAUAGGAAAGAAAUUGGAGCAGGUGUGGGUACCUGGGACGGUGAAUUCAAGAUAUGAAGAUCAAUGCUGAACUGCACACUGGGCAACAACUCAGAUUUCGUAGGGACUAAAGCUCAUACAGUGUUUUAAGAUCCACCUUAAGAAACAACACAGGCAAGCCGAGUGUGGUGGCGCACGCCUUUAAUCCCUGAACUUUGGAGGCAGAGGCAGGCGCAUUUCUGAGUUCAAGGCUAGUCUGGUCUACAAAGUGAGUUCCAGAACAGCCAGGGCUACACAGAGAAACCCUGUCUCGAAACUGCCCCCCCUCCAAAAAAAAAAAAAAAAAAGAAAGAAAAGAAACAACACAGGCUAGGAGUGUUGGCUCACAUUUUUAACUCAGCUGUUGUUAGUAAACCAAAAAUUAAAAAAAAAAAAUCAAAUUGGUAAAACAAUAGCAAUAACAAGAACAGCACCGAACCCAAGGCCUUUUCUAGGGCUUCAGAAGCUGCAGAUCCAAAGUGCAGCUUGAAGCUCAUUCUUCCAACCUCUAGGAAGGAGAUGGUGAAACAAAGAAAACUGAUGUUUG